rnacentral:rRNA from 1 species
AUUGAACGCUGGCGGCAGGCCUAACACAUGCAAGUCGAACGAGUGGCGGACGGGUGAGUAAUGUCUGGUAACCUGCCCGAUGGAGGGGGUUACUUACUGGAAACGGUAGCUAAUCCCCAUUACCAUCGGAUGUUCCCAGAUGGGUUUAGAUAGUAGGUGGGUUAACGGAUCACCUAGGCGACGUUCCCUAGCUGGUCUGAGAGGAUGACCAGCCACACUGGAACUGAGACACGGUCCAGACUCCUACGGGAGGCAGCAGUGGGGAAUAUUGCACAAUGGGCGCAAGCCUGAUGCAGCCAUGCCGCGUGUAUGAAGAAGGCCUUCGGGUUGUAAAGUACUUUCAGCGAGGAGGCGUUACUCGCAGAAGAAGCAUCGGCUAACUCCGUGCCAGCAGCCGCGGUAAUAC